UACGGAGGGUGCAAGCGUUAUCCGGAUUCACUGGGUUUAAAGGGUGCGUAGGAGGGCAGGUAAGUCAGUGGUGAAAUCUCCAAGCUUAACUUGGAAACUGCCGUUGAUACUAUCUGUCUUGAAUACCGUGGAGGUGAGCGGAAUAUGUCAUGUAGCGGUGAAAUGCUUAGAUAUGACAUGGAACACCAAUUGCGAAGGCAGCUCGCUACACGAAUAUUGAUUCUGAGGCACGAAAGCGUGGGGAUCAAACAGG
rnacentral:rRNA from 1 species